rnacentral:rRNA from 1 species
GUGAACGCUGGCGGUAGGCCUAACACCUGCAAGUCGAACGGCAGCACAGUAAGAGCUUGCUCUUACGGGUGGCGAGUGGCAGACGGGUGAGGAAUACAUCGGAAUCUACUUUUUCGUGGGGGAUAACGUAGGGAAACUUACGCUAAUACCGCAUACGACCUACGGGUGAAAGCAGGGGAUCUUCGGACCUUGCGCGAUUGAAUGAGCCGAUGUCGGAUUAGCUAGUUGGCGGGGUAAAGGCCCACCAAGGCGACGAUCCGUAGCUGGUCUGAGAGGAUGAUCAGCCACACUGGAACUGAGACACGGUCCAGACUCCUACGGGAGGCAGCAGUGGGGAAUAUUGGACAAUGGGCGCAAGCCUGAUCCAGCCAUACCGCGUGGGUGAAGAAGGCCUUCGGGUUGUAAAGCCCUUUUGUUGGGAAAGAAAAGCAGCAGGUUAAUACCCCGCUGUUCUGACGGUACCCAAAGAAUAAGCACCGGCUAACUUCGUG